CAUCACCGUCUAUAACUACCUGAAGGGAAGUUCUAGCCAGUGCUGCAUGGCCUCAGAAAGAGUUUCAGCAAGCAAACCUCAGGACAGCUGAAGUGGUGAUAAGUAAGAGUUUAAAUGCUGACCUAUAAAAAUAAGGAAACUGAGGUAAGGCUCUGUUUUCAUCACAAAUUUACCCUCUAGUGCUCAGGCACUGGAAUUGCAUUAUAUUUGACAGAUCUUUCCAAUGACAGCACUACAAGACUGGCAAUACUGUGCAAAAUCAGUUAUGAAUAUCAACCCCUUCCCCCUUUUUAUUUCUCCUAGGUUUUUAUUAGUUGUUUACACUUACUGGACUCAGAGCAUCAUUGCUCUGCAUGUUGUGCAAACUUGGAGUGAAUGGAUCAUAUGGAUUCUGAAUUCAAAUAUUUAUUAAAAAAUGCAAGUGCAUUAUAUGCUUGGUCCCAUUAGAAGAGCUGGUUGCUCUUAUGUCCGUAUCUAUGAGAGUUUUUUGUAUUUGUAAGUCUCUUGCCUCUAUUGUUCAUCAGUUGAGCUGGAAGGCUUAGGCAAUGAUUCACGCUCAUUUGGAGAAGGAGAACUUUGUUUUUCUUGCUGUGGACUAAUCCCCUUGCUGUUUCUGUGUUUGCAGCAUACAAGUGUCACCAGAGAAACACUUUGUUCUGAAACUCCUGAUCAAUUUUGGAAUAGCAAUACCAUAAUUUAUAAACAGGUUCAGGGAUUUAGGAAGCUGAGGCUUUGGUUUUUACAGUUUAUUUUUUAGAAGUCUACAAGAAUUUUAAAAUGUGAAACAGCUUCUUAAGGACAAACUAAGCAUGUCAGGAUUAGGUCCUGGAUGCAUUGCAAGCAUUAUGAGCCCCAUAUUCAUUUGAGAGUAGCCCAGUGAUGGUGUUAAAGCAGAUAAGAUAAGCCCUGUAAGAAAAAAAGAAAGGCAUAAUUGCAUUUAUUUGCCAACUGAAAUUCACUCUGUGCCUUUUGUCAUUUGAGGUCACUAAAUGGAGAAACAAAUAUAAUUUCUGUCAUAUGGGAGAAAUUUCAGUGAAUUAGCAAAAUAGGCCUUAAUAAGCAGUAUGUAAUUGCAAGUGCAAUUACAAAGCAAUACCACUUUGAUAGUUCAGUUGUAGACAAUGCUUUUCAAAAAUUUAAAUACUUUAAAACUUGCUGAUUUUGUAGGCCAUGGCAACUGUGUUUCAGAUCCCAACUUGUGUUUAGUCUAAACUUCCAGUGUAACCACAUCAGAGAGUCUUCCAGGCAUGAGGUCUUGCCCUUGUUUGCAUUCAAAUCAGCAGCAUUAAGUAUUAAGCUUAUCUUGAGGUUGAGUAAAUAAACUUUAGUUUUCUACUCAGACAACACUUAAUGAAGACCACAUUCAGCCACCGACCUCUUGUGAAAUGCUGCUGGCUUGAGACCCCAAAAGCCUUGCCUUUUGCCUGUAUCCCAAGGCUUUGUUGCAGUGCGUGAAAGUAUAGGACGUGAUCGAACUUCACUAAGGUGAAAACUUCAUAAUAACCAUUAAACUGAUGUAACCAUGCUGCAUUGAGAGGCUUCUGUCAGCCACCAUGUAAAGUAUUUUUGAUGGGUUAUCUUCAAAAUAAUUUCUUCAGAAAUACUGAAGUGACAGACUUUUAUUUGCAAUUAGCUGUCAUUUGGACAGUUGCAUUAUUAACGGUCUGCAACAUUUAAAAAGGGGUUAUCCUAAGCUAACAUAUAAUGCUACCCUAUAUCAAUAGUGCAGCACACUAGGUGGAACUUGUCCACCUUAUAGUAUCACCAGGAUCCCUUUGGGUGAGGAGAACAGUAUUUUUGUCUAGUUCUAGUAUAACUUGGCUAUUAUUAAUUACUUGCCGCAACACAAAUUUAGAAAUAAUUUAUCAUGGGGUAGUUGAAAAACAAAGAUCACAAGAAAAAUCAAAAAAUUGCAUAUAUCCCUCAGGUGGGAUGUUGAUGCUGUUUUGUUGCAUAUUUGUUUGUAUAAUACAGAUCCUUUAUAACUGCCAGUGCUAGUCUCACUGGCUGUGUUUAUGUGAGACUAACAGGAUGACUCACAGAUGCUGUAUGACUUGUUGUGUUGUCUUGUUCAGGUUAACUGCUAUUGUUUUAUUACUGGUAACUUGUGUGACCUCCACAACCAGGCUCUGAGUACUGCAGAAGUUAAGGACAGGACUGCUAGCCACAGGAGUGUGUAGUCCAUUUGAGUAAGACAAGGGAAUGUCAGCCUCCCCCUCAGCCCCUUCCCCACCCCUGGUUCAAUGCCUGCAGCUCCACUGGGCACUGGUCGCUCACUCUCCCUCAGAGGUAGUGUUGGCCUUGCUCCAACCAUUGCCAGAAUAUAAGUUGCUCAGAUCCCCAUUUAUUGUUGAGAACUGACUGUGCAGUGUUCAUCACAUUCGUCAAAAAAUCAUUGCUGUCCAAACAGAAAAGCAACUUACUCUCAAGAUAUUUGACAGCUUCUUUAUUCAUGACAUUUCACUGUAAAAUACAAGCACAAAUGCUAUACCAAAGGAGAUGAUCUUGAGUUAAUACUGAGAGUAUAGCAUGGGCAAGUAAGGAUUUUCCACUCGUUCAAAUUAAAAUAUUACUGUGCAUUGUGGUAAAUUCACUCUAUGUGAAAUAGAGAAGAAAAGGCUGCAACACACCUUCAUGAUUGCCUUCAGGAAAAUGAGCGUUUCAUUUAUAGCCUACUCAUCUACAAAUGCAUCUAAAGAGGAAAUAAAAUAAUAAUAAAAAAGCCAACACAAAACCUCAAGGUGGGUUUCUCACAAUAUUUAUAUAAAUUAAAAAAUUGCAGGAAAACCAGCUCAUGACAAAGUCAGAUUUUGCUAUGACUCUUGUUAACUUCUCAGUACUUCUUUGUCUAGACUGGUGAAAGCUUCACUUUUAUUUUCUGUGAACAGGAAGGAUAAUUAGUCACUUCUUAGCAUGAAGCUGUCUCUUAAAAGACUACUAGUAGUUUAUUUAUUUACUUCUUAAUUAAGAAAAUAACUAUUCUAAUUCUGAGGGAAGUGAAAGAAUUUGUGCCUCAUCUGCCAAGGGUAGCUGACGGUCACUAUAACUCAGAUGUGGGAAGGGGAUGGCUUUCCAGAGCAUGCAGAAACCAUGGAGAGGUCUUUUAGCACGUGUCCUAGAGUCGUGGAAGAUGGAGGCAGGGAAACAGCUUCUAUCUGGGUGUUUCUGAAUCCCUAGAAGACAAACCCUCUUUGUUGUGUCACAGAAGAGAGACAAACAGAGUGGGCUGCAAAGCUGGGGCUGGGGUGGUGGUGGGAUGGGGAGCAGAGCAAGGCAAGGAACCCAGACAGAGCCAACUCUCUCCUCUCUAGAUGGCAACCACAAGGCUUCCGCCAGGUUUCCCUAGAUCCUGUUUUCCACUCCAAGAUUAAAAAUCUCCCCUCAGGGGAGAAUGAAAAGGAAAUUGUGUGGUAGGCUUUUCUGUGUUUCCAGCUGACUAUUUCCAUAGAAGUGGGCAGUUGGGCCCAGUGUUUCUUAAGAUAUCUUUCCAGUAAGAGUAAAAUCCCGGAUCUGCUGAGGGCAACAGGCAAUAGCGAACCUCCCGUUGGUCUCAAGAGGGCUGCAAUUUCAUCUUGGCUUCAAGAUGCAUUAGGAAGUGCAUGGAGAUCCUGGGAACAGAAAAAGGGAAAGUCCUAAAUAAAGGUUUCUCAUCCAAAAGCUGUUCAUAGUGCUUAGUUAAUUUCAUCAGACUUCAAAAUGUUUUUGGUGUUUAUUAAGGUUACGUAGGUACUAUGCAGAGCAGACAUUAUCUAAGCAUCUGAGACUUCAGUAGUUCACUCCUCUGUUUUGUUAAAAAAAGAGAGAUCAAUAUUAGUUUCUCAAAAAUCAUCAGUUACUGUAUGCUUGUUUUGAUCUUAGGGUCCUUAAAAGAAAAGGAAAUGUAGUAAUCUCUAUUUGAAAUGGGACUACUUUUCCUUCUAUGUGUGCUGGCAAUCUGAGUGUCUAACAGAUAUUUCUACUAUCACUUGUUUUUCCAAUUCUUUGUGAAAGUCCCAUUUUAUACUUUCUCAGAAGUAUUUUUUUCCUUGCAGCAAUUCUGGAAAUAGCUUUUCUGUUGCAACCAGCGAGGGGAUGUGUACCAUCCGUGAAGGCAGCCUGGAAGGCACGCACCGGCAAACUGCAAAACAACAUAACUUGUGGAAUUAACAGUUCACGUUGACACCCAUUAAAAAUAUUCAGAGAUUGACUCAGCCUGCCCAUGUUGCACAAAUAACAUGCUUGGCUCUGAAUGAUUCAAGAUCUUAUCUGGUCUCAGCACAAGUUCAGUGUGGAGGGCCUGAUCCUGUUCUCAUUAACCACCAAAGGAGUUUUGCUGUGCACUUCAAAGAGAAUACAGGAGCCGCAUUUGCAGUGAAGCACACAUGGUUCCUGUAUCUUUUCCCUUUUUUUCAUUUUAAAAAAUUAUAUUCCAAACUACAGCAAAACAAAAAGAAAGAAGGCUAGGAAACAGUCGAAAUAAAGCUGCUGUCUGUUGAGCUGUACUGUUGCAUGAGAACUCUGUUUGCUUGGAGCUCUUAAGUGGAAAUUGAGAGUAGAAAUCAGAAAGAGCUGAGACGGUUUUGGUUAUAUUUGUAGCUGACUACCCUCAAUUCCCAUCAUUCCCCAGGUAGAAGCCUCGCAUGGCCCGUGGUAUUUCUUUGCACCUUGCACAACUAUUUGCAAAGAACUGGAGCUGAGCCGAUGUGUGCAGCCACUGAUAUUGUAUCCAUGCAAACACAGUGCCUAUGGUGGUCAAGGCAAAGGCUCUGCUAAGCCCCCGGGAAGUUUCAUUUAUUAUAAAAGUACGGUCACUGUGGAUACUGCACUGCUGUAUUCAUGUCCUGGUUUUAUGCUCAUCCCCGGGCAUCCGCUGUAGACCACUGCUGCAGUUGGGUCAGAGUGCUGGCACAAGCUGAUGGGCAUCCUGACGUCCCCAUGUGACACCAGGCCAUGGGCAGAGGCAGCAGAGAGGGGCACCAAGUCAGGCUGUGACCUUUGACAACCCUCCUGGUGACUGGAAGAAUAGAGCAUCUGGAUGUCAGGAAGAUAAGAAGGUUGGGAAGGCAGCUGGGUCUGCAAAUAAAAGCAACCAAACCCUAUUUUGUGAGGUCAAAUGUGGAUUCAGGUUUGCAGCUGGAAGCCAAACGCAGAAGGACAUCACCAUGGAGUUUGGAAAUUUUCCACUUGGAAUCUACAUUUUUCAGCAGAUUCCUCUCUGUGCAAUGAAACUACAAGAAAACAUUGACAUGAAUACAAAAGAAACAGGGAAGAUCCAGAUCCAGAUCUGAAGUUUACAUUUGCCUCAUUUCUGGUCUCCUGAUAAAGGGGCAACUGUUACAAGUGCAGUUCAUAGAUGAUCUGGAGCCAGUGUUAGCCUUCCUUUCUUUUCCCUUUCCCUCUUAUUUUCUUUCAGUCUAAGACUGGCCUGAAAGAGAUACGAUUCUUGCUGUGAAAACAGUCUAUGUCAUUGGACUUCUUAACAAAUUUUCUUUCAUAAUUUAUGGUCAUGGAAAAGAGUUUGAAGAGUUUCAGAAAGACAUCCUCCUUAAUCCUUCCUUCAAUCCUUUUGGAAGGCUUGGGAUGGAAAAACUAGACCCUUGAGAAAAAUAUAAGAAAAAUUACAGGAAAUUUUUUUCUCUUAGAAUGAAAAUAGAGAAAAGGAUGGAAUAAUGUCUAAAAAGAUGUUAUUACUGAUUUACUUUAUUGCUGCAUUUGCUGUUUAAUUUCAGUGAUUUAAACCACUUUCAACAAUGAACGGUAUUCCGAGUGAAAUGAUUAGGUAUUUCCAGUGCAUUUAUUCUGUAAUUAAACUUUACAAUGUUAUGGCAACUAUAAUUCCAAUAGCUAUAAUUUCAAAAAUAUAUUGUGGGCCAAAUUUAUUGUUAGCAUACAACACUUCACUGCAUGUACUACAUUACUGUGAAUACAACUAUAGGGAUAUCACAUACAUUUUCAAGCUUUUCAUCUAGAAAUAUGGGGGUUUUUGUAUUAGAGCCCGAGACCAACUGUUUCAGACCUAUAUGGUUAACAUUUCCUUUGGUUUACAAGACAAUACUGUUAAUGCUUUCUGGUUUAUUUUUCUCCCUCUAUUUCAUACAGAAACUGUCAGGGAAAAUUACUUUUUCUUUUAUGGGUAGCUAACCUCUCUCUACAGUAGUGUCCUAUUUCUCAUUUUAUUUUUUUAAAGUAUAUUUUUGAAUGUUCUACAUACAUACGUAUUCGUCAUUAUUAAAGCAAAAAAAGUUACUACUACAUAUAUUUCAAUUACUCCUCAGAAGUUACAUUUAAAAAAAAAAAGAAUUAAGAAAAUUUGUUUGGGUUUUUUUCUAAUGAGUAUUUCAUAUCCCUAGCACACAAAGGAGCCCUAGGUCCCCUUUAGGGCCGCAGUAGUUUGUUUGGAUAGUUAGCUGUUCAUCUUUCAAGAGUCUUCCAGCUAUCUUCAAAUACCACGUCACUACCAAUUCCUUUCACCAGUACUCAAAUGCUACCAAAUUUUGGGAAAAAAAUCUGGUUCUACACCAGAGCUUCAUCAAGAACCAUUCUAGUGAUUCAAAGAAGAAGAAGAAGAGUAUUUUUUUAUGUUACAAAGUGUCUGAGAAACUCAAGUAAAAGACUAGAAGAAACAUCACAUAGAGGACUUACCAUACAAUACAUUGACAGAAUGGCUGGGGCUUCUGGCAGGAGUUGCUGUUGAAUAGAAGCAAGACAGUGAACAGAUUUUCAAACUAUUUAAAACUGACAUGCAAGCAGGGUGGUCUUCACAGAAGAAGUCUUCGCUGGCUAAUGCUGUCUUUACAAUUGAGGUUUAGUUUGGAUUUUACAAAAACCAUUUAUUACUUUUCAGUUAGUACAUUUUGGUUGAAAGAGAAAGUGAAAGGUGCUACUCCAUGGGAAGAACACAGUCAGGACUGCACUACUUGUUCCAUGGGACAGUAUUUUUCUCCACACAUGAAAAAAUCUAAAUCUUGCUUCUACUACAUAAAGGUCAAGCGGUUUUGCCAAAGAUUCUCAGCCAUCAGAAUUACCCCAAAUGUAUGCAGCAGGAUUGCUCUCUGUCUGUAUAGUAUUUGAUGUGAAAAAUCUGUCUUUGUCAGUUUUUUAUCCUGAACUGACAGCGGUAUAUUAUGGAUCAAGCAAAUAAUACCAGACAUUUGUGUUGUGUCAUUCAACAUCCUCUUGACACAAUUAACCCACUCUAGUCAAGUUUCUUUGUCACAUAAGUGGUGAAGAAAAUGCUUUGCCAGUUUCAAAAUCCCUAAUCUAAGCAAGCUUGUACAGUGAUAGAGUUCAAAAAUACGUGUCUUAAUCACAUGCCAUUCAUUCUUUCCAGAUUUAUUCCUAAGAGAGAUCCUGUAUUAAAUAUACACACAGCUUGAGCUAUAUAACUUUUUCCAAGACCACCUUCUUCAGCCCUGUCUGGAUGUUUUCUACAUGGGUACCAAGUCCUCAGAUUCAGAAGAAAUUAUCAACCUUUCAUGCCAACAUUCAGAAUUGUGAUUAAACUCUCAGUUGUUUGUCACAAUAUACAUUUCUCAUUUAGAUUAUUCUCAUCAAAUUUUCCAGAUGGAAGCUGCAGGGUAUUUGCACGUAUUCUGGGGAAUACAAGGAAGGAUUUUUAUCAUAAGGUUUCUCCUCAUCAUUCUUCAGUCCCUCAUACGUUUUGGUUAAUGGUAAAGUGACAGUUGCUGAACCGAGUUUUUAAAAUGCAUGUCUAUCUGUCAGUUCCAAUGCAUCUCACAGUGGCAUGCAUUAACUUAUCAUGCUUGAAAGUACAGAAAGAUUAUGCUGCAGUGAAAUGUUAACAAGGUCAUAUCAUAUACACACUAACUCGUUGCACUUUUCUUCCUUUCAUUGCUCCUGUUAGGCAUUAUUCUGUGUCAUGCAUAAAUAAUGUUGCUCUAGAGAGAAAGUCAGUGUACUUUAUAUUACUGGUGCUGCUGUGGCAUUGAGACAGGCUGAACUUCUGAAGUGAAUGUCAGAACAUGUCACUUGCUAAAUUACUGGUACGUACCCAUCAAAGACAAGUAUAGUGGAUGAAUACAUGUAUUUGUGAAUAGAUUACUUUCUGCUUUGGAUCACCACAGCAGUAACCAUAUUGAGAUAGUUUUCAUAUAAAUGAGGUUUGGCAAAUCAUUAUCUGGCACCACACAUCUGAUUUUAUAGGACUCUUAUACAGUCUUUCAGACUGUACUGGGCGAAGCAUGGAAGUUCAGAAGAGUAGCAGAAGAGGGCAAUUCGCACACCAAGGAAAUAUUUCACAAACAGAAAGUUUCAGCUACUGAAAACUCAGACAGAGAACCAGAGAUGAAUAAUUUUCCCUUGACACAAUUCUGCAAUGCUAUGGUGAGUGUGCCAGUACAUCUGCUGAAAGACCUCAGCUUCUACCUACACUACUCUGCUCCCAAAUAUAACCAGCAGCAGGCUUGGACCUCCACAAAGUCCCAGCUCCAGGUUUUUUGGCUGAUAUAAUUUGGUCUCUCUGAAAUGUGUCUGUGUGGGCUAUCUAGGCCUAGCUUCUGCUUCCCACCCCUUUUUAUUCCCUCCAGAUGGAAAACUGAAUUUUAGGCUAGAUAUUCCUUGCAGGUGUUGUGGUAAGAGACCUGUUUCAGAUUUUGUCUCCCCAGAUAAAUUACCACCCACAUGCAAAUUUCAGAUUUAAUUGCAAGUAAAUCUAAUAUGAUCCAUGAGUUUUUGCUUGAACAUUUGUCACAGACUGUCUUUGCUGGUGUAUUUUUUCACAUCUAUGUGUGUUUAUCAGGAAACCUCACUUUGUCCAGGCCUAGGUUAUGUCAAAGUUAUCUAUAGCAAAUAUUUUACUUCCAUGGGUAACAAACAGCAGCAAUGGUCAAUUACAAAUGGAGCCAUAGAGGUUUGUGUGGGGUGAAGGGGAAGAUAUAUUUUGUUGUUAGUGGAGGAAAAAAAAAGUGCCAUGUUAUUAUGGUUGAUCCCAUAAAUGCUGCUUGGUUUAUUUCAGCUUUAAUGGAUAUUUUUGCACAUGUAUACAGUCAUUUUAGUUUACUCGAUAAUUAUAAGAAAAGAAAUCUAAUGCAAAAUCAGGUUCAAACCAAUUGCAAGAUUAAUCUGGUUAAGGUAGAGUUGCAGGUCAUGCAAGUUCCACACCACAGACACACCUGCAUCCAGUCCUACAGUCCCUGAGCUUGCUGUUAUCACGCUCCAGCAAUGUUUGCUAUUAAAAUAGCAAAGCAAACUUAAAAGUUGACUUCCUGAAUUACAGUUGAGUCACUUUAGUGAUUGAACUCAUACAGUGUUUGGUGAUCUUUCUAAUGAACUUUGAUUCUAUGCUUGUAACACCAUGAGACUUUAAUAAAUCUAUGAGAUAAUUAACAUAGACAUGAAUAGAUAUGUAGGGAAAGAUUGACCUAUUGUCACUCUUCUCUCUUAGGCUGCUAGCAAUAGCUGAUAUUUAUAGCUCUCAGUUUGAAGAAGAAAUAUCUCUAUUUCUGACUCUGGAAAGAUGGAAACUCCUGGGUUAGAAGACUCUGUGAUAGGUAGCAACUUCUCUGGGUGGGGUGUUCUUCCGCAGGAUUUGAUUUCUUCCCUGAGACCAUGAGGUAAAGCUAUUUUAAACUCAGGACUUCUAUAUCAUUGUAAAUCCCAAACACCCAGUGAGCCUCCAGUAUAGCAGGAAAAGUAGAAAAUCUUAAUGUAAACGUCAUUCGGUAAACUGUGUUAUUUUGGGAAAAAGUGAGUACUUCUCUGUUUUCCUGAAAUAAAAUAGAGACGCAGCUGCCCAGUUCUCUCAUGGAGGCUUUUGGGAGCUGAGGUGAGUCAGACAGCAAGAAAUGAAGCAGGUAUUUCAGCAAAGAUCCUUAGCUCAGGACAAACUAUCACCUCACAGAACUGAGAGUUCAGAGGAGAAGCAGCCACACUUUUCCUCCUUGCCCUGGGUCUUCUCACUGGUACAAAGCAGAGUCACUAUGGCCUUGAUCAGGAAACACAGUUUUUGGGGACUUCAUAUCUCAUGAGCAGCCUUAUGGUAGGACUGCAGCAGGAGUAAAUCCCUGAAAGCCCAGGAAUACCUAGGAUGAGGGAUUUCUCAUGAAGAAGCAGCCAAGCCACAUAUUGAAGUUUGUCCUUCAAGCAAAUCAUGAGGCAAUUUGGUACGAAGCCUGGCAGUUUUCUGAUGCACCUUGGACUUUAUUUUACUGCAAAUUCUUCUCAGCUGACUACUUUCCAUAAAAUCAUUCAGAUUACUUUUAGCUAUUGCUUUCAGAUCAAAAAUGUUUCAUCAAAUCAUUCCAGACCAGCUCUACCACUGAAUCUGUUCAGAUUGUGUUACUUGGGGACUGUCUCAAUAAAAGCAGACUAUCUAAUUUUCCUUUAGUUUAUAGUUUCUAACAUGGUUGUUUGGAAAAUGAAAUUUCUGUCCCCAGUACAAUUCCAGUUUCAACGUUUGUUUCAUCUUGGAAAGCAAUAUUUAAAAACAUUAUUAUUAGGUUAUCAAGAUAUCAGAAAUGGAUUUUAAUUUUCCUGUGAAAUUGUUCGGAUUUUGACAAAAUCUCCUCUGGAAAAGUACCAUGGGCUAUUUUUUCUUGUUUUUAGUGUAAUCAGUUUCUGCUACUCAAAGACUGGUAAAAUGAAUCCAUUUCAAAUCAGGAAAGGUUAUUCCUCCAAUGAAUUAUCUAUGAAUAAUUAAAGUUAAAUAAUUAUGAAUCUGUGUACUACAUCUUCUACUCUUCAAAUUUCCAGCUUAACUUCUCCCAUGGAGCAGCCAUGGUAGUCCUACUAUGUAUUUUUUUUGGACGGGCAAGAGCACAACAGCUGGGUCCUUCAAAACAAGUUAAACUGGAGGAGGAGAUGCAUGAAUCCGAAAUUUCCCAGGACUCUCGGCAUCCUGCAUUGGUGACCUAGUUUGGGGGUUCCAUAGGGGGAACUCCACAUGUGGCAACUGGACUAAUCAAAAAUAAUGUUGGCAGGUGCAGACAUGUACCAUCAUCAAAAUAGUUCGAUCAGGAAUGAAAAUUGUCUGUGUGCACUGUCACUUUUUACUCCAUCACUGUUGCUUCACAAAGUUUUUGCUUGUAUGUAACUUGUCAGUCCAUGCCAGUUUUAACCACAGGCCAUUACUUCCUUGUUUUGUAGACUGUCAUUUUACUUAAUAAAUUAAA